rnacentral:rRNA from 1 species
AAUGAACGCUGGCGGCAGGCCUAACACAUGCAAGUCGAACGCUUGGCGGACGUGUGAGUCAUGUCUGGGAAACUGCCUUAUUGAGGGGGAUAACUACUGGAAACGGUAGCUAAUCCCGCAUCCCAUCGGAUGUGCCCAGAGGGGAGUAGCUAGUAGGUGGGGUAAAGGCUCAACUCGGCGACGAUCCCUAGCUGGUCUGAGAGGAUGACCGGCCACACUGGAACUGAGACACGGUCCAGACUCCUACGGGAGGCAGAAGUGGGGAAUAUUGCACAAUGGGCGCAAGCCUGAUGCAGCCAUGCCGCGUGUAUGAAGAAGGCCUACGGGUUGUAAAGUACUUUCAGCGGGGAGGCGUUACCCGCAGAAGAAGCACCGGCUAACUCCGUGCCAGCAGCCGCGGUAAUAC